CGAGCGCAACCCUUGUCCUUAGUUACCAGCACGUUAUGGUGGGCACUCUAAGGAGGACUGCCGGUGACAACCGGAGGAAGUGGGGAUGACGUCAAGUCAUCAUGGCCCUUACGGCCUGGGCUACACACGUGCUACAAUGGUCGGUACAAAGGGUUGCCAAGCCGCGAGGUGGAGCUAAUCCCAUAAAACCGAUCGUAGUCCGGAUCGCAGUCUGCAACUCGACUGCGUGAAGUCGGAAUCGCUAGUAAUCGUGAAUCAGAAUGUCACGGUGAAUACGUUCCCGGGCCUU
rnacentral:rRNA from 1 species